rnacentral:misc_RNA from 1 species
AGUGCAAAAUAAAACUGCUACAAUUCAACUUAUGAAAAGAGUCAACUUCUGAGUAGAGUCACUCUAAUUGAAAAGAUGCUCACACUACUAAUGAUCUUUAAACUAAGUCAGCAACCUAUAUAGUGAUUCAACGACAAUAAAACAAGCACUGCCCUGCACAAUAAGGAGAAUGUAGCAUCACUUAUUCCAACUUCUAAUCCAUUUGUAUCAUGGAGAAGUGACAUGGUUUCUAAUUCUGCUCGAGCACCUAACUGGAGUAACCAUACAGAACUAAGAUAUAUUGAUUGAAGAGGUCACAAACACAAAAUGUCACACUCACAUAGAUACAGCUGAGCAAGACAAAAACCCAAAGCUGGUAAAAAAUAAAAUAUAAUAAUAAUAAUAAACAUCCAAGAACCAUCCUUUUUCUUGACAAGAUGUACUGGAGAAAAAUAAGGACUGAUGUUGAGUUGUAUGACCUCAUUUUGUAACAUUUCA